UUCUGCCAGCCAAUAUGGAGCACCUUUUCUGUGAAUAUAUUCAUGUUAUGCUGAGGGUUGGGAAAAACACCCACCAGCUUCAGUGAGGUAACACCUGCUUUCCAUUCAGGCUAAAUGAGGGAACAAUUAAAUGCCCCUUUGUUGAGAGAGAGCAGAAACAACAGGAGCCAUCACCUGAAACACAGGCCACAUUAGCAAGAACAUCACAGGAGAACACAGAGAAGGAACAAAGACGCCCCAGACACAGCCAGAGAUGCCUUAGCAGUGUGACCUUGAGAAAAAGCUGAGAAAGAGCUUUUGAGUAAAGUGCUGUCUGGAAGAGGCUUGAGAUGUGAGAAAAUAAACUGGCUCCUGCUGUUUGAUUCCUUCUUUGUAAAUAAACAGGAUUGCAC